rnacentral:tRNA from 1 species
GCCCCCAUAGCUCAGUUUGGUAGAGCAGAUCCCUCUUAAGGAUAAGGUCACAGGUUCGAGCCCUGUUGGGGGUACCA